CGCUCUGGCUCGGGGUCUAGACAUCUCUGCAGUCACCAAAGAUUUAAGGAAGGACCAGAAAUGGCUACCAAGUCCGUUGUUCUUGUGAUCAUUUUCUGCAUCCUCCUUGGCUCGCACCAUCUUCCCUCGAUGUCAUCGGCUGCUUGAAUCCUCGCAGAUGAUGGUCACGGCAAAAUCGGGGUGGGAGGGAGCACGCCGAAGCAAGACGGCUCGUGGAACGGCAAUGGCUCACCUUCGGGCACCAUCAUGCUGUCUCCGCCAACCUCGGCCAUGCAUAUUGCCUAUGCGCACGCUGUCGUGAAUGUUACCAGUAGCGAAAAAAAACCUGGAAAGAGCCCCUGAUGGUUGAUUCUUGGCCUUCUGGUAAUUUUGUCCCUUCACAAAGCAGCAAGCCCGAACGAGGAAGGGAAGACUGUUUUUCCUCUUCAUUUGAUCGCUUUACUCAGUAUCGAUCGGUCGUCGAUGUAUUCAUUCGAAUAAUGGAAUAAUCUCAGCUAUUGCAUAAAAGUGUGUUUGUUGUAAUGUUGAUACACCACGGAUAAUCUCAUUUAUUGUAAUAAAUCACAUCGUUGAACC